AACCUUAUGGACCUGCGGGCGUAUACCUGCGGAGGGAUCAUUACCGAGCGAGGGCCUCCGGGUCCGACCUCCAACCCCAUGUUAUUCGACCCUGUUGCCUCGGGGGCGACCCGGCCUUCGGGCGUCGGGGCCCCCGGUGGACCACUCAACUCUGCAUCAUUGCGUCCGAGUCACAUAUUGAAUCAAUCAAAACUUUCAGCAAUGGAUCU
rnacentral:misc_RNA from 1 species